CAUUUUGACCCAGUGUGGAAAAAGCGAACACGUGCAGAAAGGUAGCUUUGGGAUCGUCGGCUCGAGAGGUAGAUCGAGAGGGCUAUGCCGGGGCGGCGGAGCGACUCGUCUGAGGUUCGCCUCCGCUUCCGCUUCCGUCUGCUUUGAUAGCGGGUACCUAGACGUCUAGCACCCUGCCGUGCGCAACGAGAAACUGCUGCUGCGCCGCCGCCUCCAGCAUUUGAGGCCGCCAAGGGAGCAGGGGACCAGGCGGCGGCCGCGCCGGCUAGAGGAGGAACUGGCGGUGCUGCAGGCGGUGGAGGAGCUGGCGCAGGGAGGAGCAGGUUUGGCGCGGAUGAGGCACCGGGAGGAGAGGUGGGGGAGAGGGCUGCCGCACAGGCUCCGGCUCGAACUGGCGCUCGCGAAGGAGCUGGAGUGGCGGCUGCAGCCGUGGCCUCUGCGCAGAGGAAGUCCUUUGCCCUGUCUAUGACCCGUCCGGCCAAUAUUACGGCAGCGAAAGAGUAUACCCCCUGGACGACCAAGACUACUAGGCUUCCUAAGUCAGAGAAGAAUAGCGGGUAGAAAAGGACACGGUCUUUCGGACAACUUAUUCGACCACUCACAUGUUUCGGAUGACAGACGAGAGUAGUAUAUACGUAAGACAGUAUAAUAAAAAGGUGAAGUAUGUAAAAAUAAUUAGAAGAAGUCAACUAGGUCGUUAUUAACAGGUUCCACGUAUACAAGAAGAUUCCUAAUUUACAGAUAAAGUCUACCAACCUCGUCUCUACUUCAAGGAUGAUCACUAGGUGUAACAAAGGAAUGCUAGAUAGAACUGCAUUCCUUAUCCGUCGGAGGGAGGCUCUUCCACGUAGUCUAUUAACGUUCUUGACGAGAUAAACAGUCACUCGUACCCCCUGUUAGUCUCUAACACAAUUCCCACUUCGUCCCUUCAUUAGGUUGUAAACCUAAGAACUACGGACUGGUAGUAGAGGUGUCGAUGAAGGCGAUGUAACAACUAGUAGGAGUCGACAACUUUCUACAGAGACUACGACUGUGGUUAUUUCCGUUGUUUUAACAAUACCCACUCUCACUCUUACGACGGAGCAGUUCACCUCGAAAUAGUAACGAACCCCGGCAGAUGCUCAGACCUCUACUCCUACUUCCGCACGAAGGUCGAUCAAGUUUUCCGUUCCUAGGACCUUUACUUCGAAACGUACUGUUACAGGUGUUUCCAAGUAGUACGGAACAUGUACUGUUGCUUCACUUUUUUCUAGUCUGUCAUUGUUAUCUUCGUCGGUGAAAUCAUUUCCUAUUCGGAUAAAAAUGGUUCUUCUUGGGUUGUUAACGACCUUUGUCGUAACAACGACGAGUCGCCCUCUUCCAAUUUCUACGGUACUGUCACAAUUGGUGAAGAUGGUUCAGACUGUUGAGAUUUAACCCACACAGACUGUGUUUUCUUUACUAUGACCUUGGUGGUAGGAAAAACUUCCCGUGUUACCUCUUUUAUCAGCUCAAAUAAGAGUCCUUGCCCUUCCUCAAACUUGUUUUCGAGUAACUCGUUCUGUCCUACUGUCCCUCCAAAGGUAAAGAAGAGGGCAGAUUAGGUAUAGUGAGCAUGAUAGAGUUCUACGAAGUCCUUUGGGUUCUCAAGUUCAGGGCACCACCAAGAAGUCUCGUGUUUCUGUCUUCCUCGAGAAGUCUCGCGGUUCUGACCUCCUCAAGAAGUCUCGCGUCUCUGUCCUCCUCAAGUCUUGCAUUUCUGUCUUCUAGAUACCUAGCGUUUCUAUCUUCAAGAAGUCUGGAGGCUCUGUCACCGGUGCUGUUCCCCGCCCCUUCACGAUUGUUCCUGAGUUCGUGAAGACUAUCUUCGAGGCGCCUUGGUAGUGUCUUCGUCGAAAGACUGUUUGUUCCCCUCCCCUUCAAGGUCAACCAGUGACUACCCCGGUUCUUCCUUGAAGGAGCCUGCCAGUGACGUCUGCUUCGACGACGAUAACAAUACCGCCGAUGAGCACCUGACCCCGGACGGUUAGGAGUUGGAUUGUGCGAUUUUCUGUGCUCACUGUAAGCGGUAUAUGUCCCGAGUCCACGUCACAGGUUUGGACGAAGUUUAUCACUCGGACCGUGUAGUCAGUGUUCAUCACUAGUCGAUUUCUUCCUUCCAUAACCUUAAUAGCUACUACUAACCUAGUGUUUAUGUUAGCGUUUUCGUCAACGACAACGGCGGAGAUUUCUCCGUCUAAGAAGACUUCGAAGGUACUGUUUACUCGUCUUCGACUUCCGACUCUCCGAAGCCGCACGUUUCUACAAGUGAAGUUAAUAAUUCCCACCACCGUUGUUCUCGCUAGACCACUGUUCACUCUAUUGAUUACUUAGACGUUCCCGGCGAGGACGAUUAAGCUUGGAGGGGCACGGAGGUCUUGGAAAUCGUUGACUUGCCCUUCCAUCGAGACACGCAAAACUUGCCCUUCCAUCGAGACACGCAAAACUUGCACUUCCAAGCUUAUACUAGUUCGUCCUCUUUCUGAGACUACUGCUCGUCUUGUCCCGUGCGUUCAUGUCUUUCGUAGUAGGUCUUAGGCUACUCCUGUUUCUAAUAAACCUCCUCCUUUCAAUAUUUGUGAGUUCCUUCUCCGUAGCAAGCCUCGCAAGUUCUCCGGUGUCAUUCCUACGUGUGUUUGCAUUCGUGUUCGUCGUGAGGUUCCUUUCCCUCAUAUCCGUACUAGUAUCGAGAAGCCUUCUACUCGAUGCGUCAAGGUUCAGUUCCGUAACCGUAUCCCUGCUAGUAGUGAUGUGACUUCUACUGCUCGUAUCCUCCGUGGCCUCCUCGGUAGCGAGACCAAGGUUUUCCUUUGUGUUCCUACUGUCUCUAGAGUUGCUCGUUUGAGAACCGGCAGGACUUCGGAGGGUUUUGUGCGGGCUCGUGUCCGUACCUAGUCUCGUCGGGGGAUCGCUGUGACGAGUUAGAAGCGUCCGCCGUUGAGUCCAGGGUCUACUCGACUUCCGCUUUUAAUCCCGCUACGAUAAUCUCUGUGAUAUUAUGUAACACACUACACUACAUUGUGACAUGAUAGUACAAGAAAAUGUAAACCGCGGAAUAAACAAUGUCGGGUCAAGGAAAUAAAACAAGUUCGCAAACAGAACAAUUUUAUAGGGUAACGGACCGUGACACCAGACGUAAAUAUCGCGUACGAAGGCAGACGACCGCUUGUGUCUUCAUAAUAUCGUAUCGUACUAAUGAC
rnacentral:rRNA from 1 species